GCCCUCGUUGUCUAAUGGUUAUGACGUCAGACUUCUAAUCUGGAGGUUGUGGGUUCGAGUCCCACCGGGGGUU
rfam:Hydnomerulius pinastri MD-312 unplaced genomic scaffold scaffold_1, whole genome shotgun sequence.